AGCGAACGCUGGCGGCAGGCUUAACACAUGCAAGUCGAACGGGCGUAGCAAUACGUCAGUGGCAGACGGGUGAGUAACGCGUGGGAACGUACCUUUUGGUUCGGAACAACACAGGGAAACUUGUGCUAAUACCGGAUAAGCCCUUACGGGGGAAAGAUUUAUCGCCGAAAGAUCGGCCCGCGUCUGAUUAGCUAGUUGGUGAGGUAACGGCUCACCAAGGCGACGAUCAGUAGCUGGUCUGAGAGGAUGAUCAGCCACAUUGGGACUGAGACACGGCCCAAACUCCUACGGGAGGCAGCAGUGGGGAAUAUUGGACAAUGGGCGCAAGCCUGAUCCAGCCAUGCCGCGUGAGUGAUGAAGGCCCUAGGGUUGUAAAGCUCUUUUGUGCGGGAAGAUAAUGACGGUACCGCAAGAAUAAGCCCCGGCUAACUUCGUG
rnacentral:rRNA from 1 species